GAUAACCGUUAGGGGUGCCUAAGGUUUUUGGUUUUCCAAAAAUUCGGCUGAGAAAUACCCUUUUUGAACCUGAUCUUGGUAAUGCUUGCGAAGGGAAACGGGAAAAAUAUUCC
rnacentral:ncRNA from 2 species